rnacentral:rRNA from 1 species
UACGGGGGGGGCAAGCGUUGUUCGGAAUUACUGGGCGUAAAGGGCUCGUAGGUGGCCAACUAAGUCAGACGUGAAAUCCCUCGGCUUAACCGGGGAACUGCGUCUGAUACUGGAUGGCUUGAGUUUGGGAGAGGGACGCGGAAUUCCAGGUGUAGCGGUGAAAUGCGUAGAUAUCUGGAGGAACACCGGUGGCGAAGGCGGGUUGCUGGGCCGACACUGACGCUGAAGCGCGAAAGCCAGGGGAGCGAACGGG